AUCGAUCGAUCCGAAAGUGAUCGAGCUUUGCCGAACGAGCGUACUGGAACAGGUCGAUCAAAAGUUGCUGCGCGUUUUUUGUUUGUUCUGCAUAAUGCUCAGGGUGCGGGAUCGAUCGAUCCGACAGACAGAUCGAUCGAUCUGAAAGUGAUCGAGCUUUGCCGAACGAGCGUAAUGGAACAGAUCGAUCGAUCUACUUAGAUUUACCGGGUUCGCAAUUGUUAAUGUUGUCUUUCAUUUUGUAAGAUCAAGUACUGUAUAUAG